rnacentral:rRNA from 1 species
ACGGAAGGCAGCAGUGAGGAAUAUUGGUCAAUGGAGGCAACUCUGAACCAGCCAUCUCGCGUGAAGGAAUACGGCCCUAUGGGUCUUAAACUUCUUUUAUAGGGGGAUAAAGUGAGGCAUGCAUGCCUUUUUGUAGGUACCCUAUGAAUAAGCAUCGGCUAACUCCGUGCCAGCAGCCGCGGUAAUACGGAGGAUGCGAGCGUUAUCCGGAUUUAUUGGGUUUAAAGGGUGCGUAGGCGGGAUGUUAAGUCAGCGGUGAAAGCGUGUAGCUCAACUAUACCAAGCCGUUGAAACUGGCGUUCUUGAGUGUAAACGAGGUAGGCGGAAUGUGACGUGUAGCGGUGAAAUGCUUAGAUAUGUCACAGAACCCCGAUUGCGAAGGCAGCUUACCAGCAUACAACUGACGCUGAGGCACGAAAGUGCGGGGAUCAAACAGGAUUAGAUACCCUGGUA